rnacentral:miRNA from 1 species
GGGACUUUAAUGAGUGUGUGUGUGUGUGUGUGUGUGUGUGUGUGUGUGUGAUCCGCGCCUGUUCAUGAGCACACACAGAGGUACAAA